AUUGAACGCUGGCGGCAGGCUUAACACAUGCAAGUCGAGCGGGGGAAGGUAGCUUGCUACCGGACCUAGCGGCGGACGGGUGAGUAAUGCUUAGGAAUCUGCCUAUUAGUGGGGGACAACAUCUCGAAAGGGAUGCUAAUACCGCCUACGUCCUACGGGAGAAAGCAGGGGAUCUUCGGACCUUGCGCUAAUAGAUGAGCCUAAGUCGGAUUAGCUAGUUGGUGGGGUAAAGGCCUACCAAGGCGACGAUCUGUAGCGGGUCUGAGAGGAUGAUCCGCCACACUGGGACUGAGACACGGCCCAGACGCCUACGGGAGGCAGCAGUGGGGAAUCUGGGACCAUGGGUGGAACCCUGAGCCAGCCAGGCCGCGUGUGGGAAGAAGACCGUAGGGUUGUAAAGCACGUUAAGCGAGGAGGAGGCUACUUUAGUUAAUACCUAGGGAUAGUGGACGUUAUUCGCAGAAUAAGCACCGGCUAACUCUGUG
rnacentral:rRNA from 1 species